rfam:Triticum urartu cultivar G1812 contig187755, whole genome shotgun sequence.
GUUGUACUCCCUCCGUCCCAAAAUUCUUGUCUUAGAUUUGUCUACAUACGGAUGUAUCUAUUCACAUUUUAGUAUUAGAUACAUCCGUAUCUGUUAGAACUAAUCUUGUUAUUAGUGCGUACGAUUAGAUAUGUUGAUAAAUUGAAGACAGGAAUUUUGGGACGGAGGGAGUAUAUU